rnacentral:lncRNA from 1 species
AAACACAGACAGGGAAAGAGGUGGAAAGGGAGACAGACAUUCCCUCUGCCGGUUCACUCGCCAAAAUGUCUGCAACAGUCGGGAGUAGGUCAGGCCGAAGCCAGCAGCCUUGAGCGCAAUCCAGAUCUCCCACGCAGGCGGCACAGACCCCAACCCUGGGGCCAUCAGCGCUGCCUCCCAAGGGUGGGGGUAGCAGCAGCCGGAAGCCCGCCCAGAGCCGGCGGCGCAGGCCAGUGGCGUCAUCAGGCCGCGCGGACCAGCUGCGGCGCUGAGGCGCUGAGCCGGAAGUCGCGGAGGCGGCGUCGCGGAGGCGGGGAAAGUGAGCUGUCGCGGGCUCUUAAGCUCCGUGUCGGGCUCUGGUGGCCUCGCCUGGACCCCACGCGCGCUGUGUGCCCCAGGUCUCUUGUGCGGGGCUUGCUCCCGGAAGCUCUUUAUGGGCAAAAUCGAGAAGACAUCAGAAUGACAUCUGGGGAAGCCUCACCAGGUGCUAAUUUCAUGGGAAGCCAACGACUAGGGCCAGGCACCUGCACUGGGCCCACAGACACAAACAGCUUCAUCCUGGCACUGCGCUGUGGCUGUGGCACAAGGCCCCAUAGCCAGGUCACUACUUAGGCUGUGAGCAAUUAACUAGUUCAGCCUUGGCCACCCUGCAGCUGUGGGCACUGACUGGAGCCAUGGUGCUGAUCUCUGCACCCACUUCCCGUGGUCCAGCAGUGCUGUGCACCUGUCCUGGA